GCAUAAUUAAUUCACACUCGCCGGCCGUAUAUAGAAGUCGUUGGUAGUCUGUCGGCACUCUCCCCUGAAAUUUGCCAUAAAAUAGCGAAUUGACGCUAAACUAUGGCAAACGAACGGGGGGAAAAGUGUUCCAACAAGAACUGACCAACGCACUCACAACCAAGGAUGGAAAUCCAUCGCGGGAUUAUAGUGACUUUCAAGUUUUCCAACAAUUCUAAUUUCGGAGAUGUUAAGGUCAACUGGCAACAUUUAUGGCAUUUUUUCUACAACUCAAACACUUUCCAACAGCUCAUCAACUCAACCUCUAAAUUAGUUCAACAACUCAACAGGAAUCGACAUCUCAACAGAAACAAAAUCUCUAUGAAAUAUUUUAAAAACUGUAUAACUUUUAAAAUCCUAAGGUAAAAUUGUGUAUAAGUAAUGUUUUAAAAAUUGUUUAACUUUUAAAAUCCUAAGGCAAAAUUGCGUAUAAAUAAAAUUGUUUAGGGUAGUUGAAACUAAGAAGUUGAAAGUAUGGCUCGACUUUUUUCGUACCUAUCUGAAUUGAGAUGUUUUACAAAAUCAUUUCUAUCUACAUUUAUUUUUAAUGUCCCCGGGCUAGUGUGUCGGUUCCAUUUUCUAAAAUGGGUCUUUUGUCACCAAUAGUUUAUAAGUCUCCUGGUAUUUUAUCUAGAAAAUCUAAAGGAGUUCCUUCACCAAUAGUUUACAAAUCGCCUAAAAUUUUAUCUUAAGUGUUUGAGUUAACAAGUAGAGAUUCAUAACUUUUCAUUGAAUUUAUUUGUUGUUUUGUGAAUCCUUCCAUUUCGAAUCCCAUUUUUCCUAAACAAAGUUCACAUAUAUAAAAUCCUACAAUUCAAUACGUAUUAAAACUAUCAACUUUUGAAUUUAUUGAUAUUUCUUUCAAUAUCAUAUCCUAAGUAUUAUGCCUAAUUUUAAAAUCUGAAUUCAUUGUGAAAGAAUACUUACUUACGAAUUCUGGAUAUUUUUUUUGUAAUAACUGAAAUUUAAAUAAUAGUUCUAAUUUGUAUCAUCUUCAGAAGAUUCUGAACAUCUGUUUUGUUUUUUAGAUAUUAUUGUAGAUAUAAUAGAUGACAUAGGUUUAACUUUACUUGUUAUUGUUUUUCCAAUUUUUUUUUUAUUUAUACUUCUUUGAGAAGAUUUUAAUGCUUUUAUAAUGAAUUUACUAGAGCAAAAACUGCUUGUAAAAGAUUCUAUAGUUUUUAUUGUAUUUAUAGAUUUUUGAAAUGCUUGAGGUAAUUUUUUUAAAUCUUUUUUUGGUGUUAAACUACUUUUAGAACAAACAGAAGAUAUAUUAGAAUUUAUUGUUAAAAAUUCUUUAAGAGAUUUAUAAAUUCUAGUAGAUGAAAAUAUAUAUGGUUUUUUUUUAGUAGAAGAUUUAAUAGGAGAUUUGUAAACUAUUGGUGAUAAUAUAUAUGUUUUUUUUUAGUAGGAUUAUUAAUAGGAGAUUUAUAAACUAUUGGUGACAAAAGACCCAUUUUAGAAAUUGGAACCGACACACUAGCCCGGGGACAUCAUAAAAUAAAUAUAGAUAAGAUAGAUUAGUUCAACAACUCAACAGGAAUCGACAUCUCAACAGAAACAAAAUCUCUAUGGAAUAUUUUAAAAACUGUAUAACUUUUAAAAUCCUAAGGCAAAAUUGUGUAUAAGUAAUAUUUUAAAAAUUGUUUAACUUUUAAAAUCCUAAGGCAAAAUUGCGUAUAAAUAAUAUUGUUUAGGGUAGUUGAAACUAGGUAGUUGAAAGUAUGGCUCGACUUUCGUCGUACCUAUCGGAAUUGAGAUGUUUUACAAAAUCAUUUUUAUCUAUAUUUAUUUUAUAAUGUCCCCGGGCUAGUGUGUCGGUUCCAUUUUCUAAAAUGGGUCUUUUGUCACCAAUAGUUUAUGAAUCUCCUAUUUAUACUCCUAAAAAAAAACCGUAUAUAUUAUCACCAAUAGUUUACAAAUCUCCUAUUAAAUCUCCUACUAAAAAAACCAUAUAUAUUAUCAUCUACUAGAAUUUAUAAAUCUCUUCAAGAAUUUUUAACAAUAAAUUCUAAUAUAUCUUCUUUUUGUUCUAAAAGUAGUUUAACUUCAAAAAAAGAUUUAAAAAAAUUACCUCAAGCAUUUCAGAAAUCUAUAAAUACAAUAAUAACUAUAGAAUAUUUUACAAGCAGUUUUUGUUGUAGUAAAUUCAGUAUAAAAGCAUUAAAUAAAAUCUUCUAUAAGAAGUAUAAAUAAAAAAAAAAUUGGUUAAACAAUAACAAGUAAAGUUAAACCUAUGUCAUCUAUUAUAUCUACAAUAAUAUCUAAAAAACAAAACAGAUCUUCAGAAUUUUCUGAAGAUGAUACAAAAUUAGAACUAUUAUUUAGAUUUCAGUUAUUACAAAAUAUAUCCAGAAUUCGUAAGUAAGUAUUCUUUCACAAUGAAUUCAGAUUUUAAUAUUAGGCAUAAUACUUAGGAUAUGAUAUUGAAAGAAAUAUCAGUAAAUUCAAAAGUUGAUAGUUUUAAUACGUAUUUAAUUGUAGGAUUUUAUUUAUGUGAACUUUGUUUAGGAAAAAUGGGAUUUGAAAUGGAAGGAUUUACUAAACAACAAAUAAAUUCAAAGAAAAGUUAUGAAUCUUUACUUGUUAACUCAAACACUUUAGAUAACAUUUUAGGCGAUUUGUAAACUAUUGGUGAAGGAACUCCUUUAGAUUUUCUAGAUAAAAUACCAGGAGACUUAUAAACUUUAUAAACUACUGGCGAAGGAACUCCUUCGCAUUUUUUGAUAAAAUAUCGGGAGAUUUAUAGUUUAUUGGUGAUGGGACAUUUAUUUUGGAGAAUGGAAUUGACACAUUGGCUUGGGGACAUUAUGGAAUAAAUGUGGAUGGAGGUGAUUUUGUAAAACAUCUCAAUUCAUUAAAUAGAAAUCAAAAUAAUUUAGAUUGAAAAUAUAAUAAUAUUUACAUGGAUUUUUUUAAUAGAACAAUUCUUUUAAAAAACUGAUAACGAUUCAUAAAUUUCAAAUAAUUUUCAAAACAUUUUGCAAUUCAAUUUUGUGAAAAUAUUUUAAUUAUUAAUACAAUUCAAUUUUAUAUUAUUAAUGAUAGGGCAUGAAUGUAAAAAAUAUUUUAAUUAUUAAUAUAUUUAAAUUUUGUGAAAAAUAUUUUAAUUAUUAUUGCAUUUAAAUUUUGUGA